rnacentral:rRNA from 1 species
ACGUAGGGUGCAAGCGUUGUCCGGAAUUACUGGGUGUAAAGGGAGCGCAGGCGGACCGGCAAGUUGGAAGUGAAAACUAUGGGCUCAACCCAUAGAUUGCUUUCAAAACUGCUGGCCUUGAGUAGUGCAGAGGUAGGUGGAAUUCCCGGUGUAGCGGUGGAAUGCGUAGAUAUCGGGAGGAACACCAGUGGCGAAGGCGACCUACUGGGCACCAACUGACGUUGAGGCUCGAAAGCAUGGGUAGCAAACAG